rnacentral:tRNA from 1 species
GUGGUUGUAAAUUAAUGGUAAAUUGAUUGCCUUCCAAGCAGAGUAUUGAGGGUUCAAUUCCCUCCAACCGCA